GUUUCUGUAGUGUAGUGGUUAUCAUGUUCGCCUCACAUGUGAAAGGUCCCUGGUUCGGAACGAGGCAGAAACA
rfam:Chelonia mydas contig174847, whole genome shotgun sequence.